UACGUAGGGUGCAAGCGUUGUCCGGAAUUAUUGGGCGUAAAGAGCUCGUAGGCGGUCUGUUGCGUCGGCUGUGAAAACCCGAGGCUCAACCUCGGGCCUGCAGCCGAUACGGGCAGACUAGAGUUCGGCAGGGGAGACUGGAAUUCCUGGUGUAGCGGUGAAAUGCGCAGAUAUCAGGAGGAACACCGGUGGCGAAGGCGGGUCUCUGGGCCGAUACUGACGCUGGAGGGAGCGAAAGCCGUGGGGAGCGAACAGG
rnacentral:rRNA from 1 species